AAGCAAUGAGGUCGCACCGCAUCUUGCUUGCUAUUCCGAUGAAUUAUUACAGCGUGAUGCAUUACUUGCUGAAAGAUUGCAAUUCUUCACCUCGCCUCAUUCGUCAUCUUGGCCUUUCUCUUCGCGUGCAUUAUACACACGGCACGUCAUAGGAUUGUCUGUGCCGACCGACAUUCAUGAGUGGCGAGUUUCAGUGCGGAGUGCACUUAAAUUCCUAAACCAUAUUGUCGAAGACGAGAUCCAUAAGUAAGAUAAGGGAAAGACGUUUCGCUCUUGAGAACGCGGAAACAUGCCACGCGCGGUAUUGGAAAGUAAGAAGAAAGUAAAAACACCGAGAAACCAUUGCGAAAGGGAGCAUAGCUAUAGCGUGAAUGCGGAAACAGGGUGCGCUAUUAGUUCGAAGAAAUAAAUACAGAUGAAAAAAAAUUUAUUUUGCAUCUCUAUGUCAGCCGUGGGAAGCACGAUUUUGAAGACCACGAAGUUUCGUUUCUGUCUGAAGCACGGUGCUCCUUUGGAAUCGCCCUGAAAGCAAGGGAACGUGCACUUUGUGUUUUGGUCGACGUAGCAGACAUCAUUCAACCGGAGGACGGACGUAGUAUAACGAUCGUAGGUAGUCUGCGGAUAUGCAAGUCAAGUGAGAGGCUCCCUUCCGCCAGCGUCGUCGCAAGGAGACAGCCGAUUUCGAGAGGACACGGUGGCAGAGGGAAGCGGAGUGCGCCAAGGAGGACCCGAUCACGUCGUCGACGAAGUCGUCGGCGAACACGACGCGUUGUUCCCAUUGAUCGACUCCAUUCGCAGCAUAUACGGGACUUUGGUCUCUCUACCCGCGGGGAUUUGGCACUUUGACGAGCUCGCAUCGCGUGGAAAAGAAACGCGUCUGUCUUCCGUUUUUCUCCUCGCUUUUUCCUUCCCGCGUACAUACAUGUCUAUCUAUUUGCGUUUAGCAAUAAGUUUCUGUUCCGUUCAUCCGAAUUAUAAAUUCGAUUCGACCGAUCAAUCGCCGGAUUUGUCUCACCGGAUAAUCGCGUUUGAGAACCUUUUGCAUCGCCUCGCUAUUUACGUCCGUUUUCUUGGUCGACUCAACGAUACAAUCGAUGCUUUCGGCACGGAACAUCGAUGCUUUAAGCACAACGAGACCAAAUGUUUGUCCUCCCAACGAAAAGCUUAAUUACGGCGCUUUCGUCGGGGAUGGAAACAGCUCAAUCGUUGUCGCUGCGGGUGACUAAUUCCGGAUCGACUUAACGUAGGAGCUAAUUUCGCACGUACGUGCACGUGGAAAAUUUCUUCCCGUGUUUAGGCGGGGUAGGCAUACGCUCGGUGAUGAACGAGAUGCGGCGAGAUGUAACGAAACACAUAGCGGCAAGAGUUUAUGGCGCGGCAACUCGCUAUUAUUUGAAUGCUUCGUGCAAGAGAAAUGAUAUUCUAGAACGCAUUGUGAGUCGCUUGCCGCAAGUUGGGAUUGGCUCGUAGAUCUCAUAGGUACAGAAUUUAAUAUUUUACUGCAUGGUGUAUAAUAUUUAGCAUAGGUACAGAAUUUAAUAUUUUACUGCAUGAUGUACAAUAUUUAGCACUGUGUAGUAAUAGUAUUAGUAUUAGUAUUUACGAAAGAUCUUAUACUAAUUAUAAUUGAUGCAUAUUUAAAGAAAUAUUUAUUAUCGACGGUAUUUUCGUCAUUAUUGAGAUUCUGUUAUUGAUUGUUAUCGAUUUAUUUUACAUUUCUACACGGAAAGAACAAUUUUGCUGAAU